rnacentral:rRNA from 1 species
GACGAACGCUGGCGGCGCGCUUAACACAUGCAAGUCGAACGGAAAGGCCUGCUUUCCCUUGUGGAUUGCGGGUACUCGCGUGGCGAACGGGUGAGUAACACGUGAGUUAUCUGCCCCCAACUUGGGUAUAAGCCUGGGAAACUGGGUCUAAUUCCCGAUAGGACUGCAGGGUGGUGCCUGUGGUGGAAAACGAUUUUCUAGUGGUUGGGGAUGAGCUCGCGGCCUAUCAGCUUGUUGGUUGGGUAAUGGCCUACCAAGGCGGCGACGGGUAGCCGGCCUGGGAGGGCGGACGGCCACAUUGGGACUGAGAUACGGCCCAGACGCCUACGGGCGGCAGCAGUGGGGAAUAAUGCACAAUGGGCGGAAGCCUGAUGCAGCGAGGCCGCGUGGGGGAUGACGGGCUUGGGGUUGUAAACUCCUUUCGGCCGCGAGGAAGCCACCUGGUUGGAAGGGUGGUGACGGUAGUGGUAGAAGAAGCACCGGCUAACUACGUG